UCUGCUUUAGUUUGUGCCACCCUUUUUCUCCAUCCACAGAAUUAAAAAGGCAAAAAGAAAAUUUUGAGUUAUCCACAUUCCAGAAAGUUCAAAUAUAUAAUUCCACAACUAAGUUUAAAAGUCUCAUAUAUACAACCCUUAUCUUAAAAACCCGAUCUGUAUACCAAUUUAGAGUGACUUGAUGGGGUUUUCUUUGUUGGCCGUUGUGAAGCUCAAGCUCUUAGCCUCUAGUUCUCAGACAAUAUCUUUUACUCCAUAUGUCGCAUAUCUAGUAGGUCCGUUUCUGCUUAAGGUUUUCUUGAAAUUAAGAUCUUUACCUCAGUUUUAUGAAGAUGUAUUGCAUGCUACAAGGUUCUUACUUUUCCAAUUCAACCAAAUAGCUUUUGAGAUCAGGCUCGAAGAUCUUGGAGAUCGGAGCAGAUGGGAGAGAGCUCUCCGAUUGUUCACCGAGAGGAUAAGGCGAAUAUCUUCACCUUCUGAUGAGGCUCGUCGCUUGCAUGAUCUUUCAAUGGUAGCUCUUUAAUAAGUCGUUAAGUAAUUAUGUUGGUCGGCUCACAAAUAGUUUUUAUGUUGUUUAUCUUAUACAAAAUUAUCCUAUUUGGUUAGUAUUGUUCAUGACUUCUACUUCUCACAUGAUGGUGCAUGUUCGGUUUUUUUUUAUGUUUCUUAUUCUAGUUUGUUCAUCACUUUAUGUUUUUGUUUCUUUCUACAAAAACAAUGAUACUUAUCCCUUUAU
rnacentral:lncRNA from 1 species